AGUGAACGCUGGCGGUAGGCCUAACACAUGCAAGUCGAACGGCAGCACAGAGGAGCUUGCUCCUUGGGUGGCGAGUGGCGGACGGGUGAGGAAUACAUCGGAAUCUACUCUGUCGUGGGGGAUAACGUAGGGAAACUUACGCUAAUACCGCAUACGACCUACGGGUGAAAGCAGGGGAUCUUCGGACCUUGCGCGAUUGAAUGAGCCGAUGUCGGAUUAGCUAGUUGGCGGGGUAAAGGCCCACCAAGGCGACGAUCCGUAGCUGGUCUGAGAGGAUGAUCAGCCACACUGGAACUGAGACACGGUCCAGACUCCUACGGGAGGCAGCAGUGGGGAAUAUUGGACAAUGGGCGCAAGCCUGAUCCAGCCAUACCGCGUGGGUGAAGAAGGCCUUCGGGUUGUAAAGCCCUUUUGUUGGGAAAGAAAUCCAGCCGGCUAAUACCUGGUUGGGAUGACGGUACCCAAAGAAUAAGCACCGGCUAACUUCGUGCCAGCAGCCGCGGUAAUACGAAGGGUGCAAGCGUUACUCGGAAUUACUGGGCGUAAAGCGUGCGUAGGUGGUUAUUUAAGUCCGUUGUGAAAGCCCUGGGCUCAACCUGGGAACUGCAGUGGAUACUGGAUGACUAGAAUGUGGUAGGGGGUAGCGGAAUUCCUGGUGUAGCAGUGAAAUGCGUAGAGAUCAGGAGGAACAUCCAUGGCGAAGGCAGCUACCUGGACCAACAUUGACACUGAGGCACGAAAGCGUGGGGAGCAAACAGG
rnacentral:rRNA from 1 species